UUGCGGCCAUAUCACGUUCAAACAUUAGUUCACAUCCGUUCACUGAAGUUAAGCUACCGCGAACUUGGCCAUUACCUAGAUGGAUGAUCCCUUGGGAAUAUCAGGUGAUGUAAG